UUUUGGUCCCAAGGCUCG
rnacentral:snRNA from 1 species